GCUCCCAUGGCGUAGUGGUCACUGCGCUCGCCUUGCACACGGGAGACCCGGGUUCGAUUCCCGGCGGGGUCA
rfam:Asian citrus Psyllid, Diaphorina citri - Florida Strain, whole genome shotgun sequence.